GGGCCCGCACAAGCGGUGGAGUAUGUGGUUUAAUUCGAUGCAACGCGAAGAACCUUACCAGGGUUUGACAUCCUGCGAAUCUUUUGGAAACGAGAGAGUGCCUUCGGGAACGCAGUGACAGGUGGUGCAUGGCUGUCGUCAGCUCGUGUCGUGAGAUGUUGGUUAAGUCCCGCAACGAGCGCAACCCACGUCUUUAGUUGCCAGCAUUUAGUUGGGCACUCUAGAGAGACCGCCGGUGAUAAACCGGAGGAAGGUGUGGAUGACGUCAAGUCAUCAUGCCCCUUACAUCCUGGGCUACACACGUACUACAAUGCUACGGACAAAGAGCAGCAAGUUCGCGAGGAC
rnacentral:rRNA from 1 species